GCAUGAGUGGUCUAGUUGGUUAUGACGUUCGCUUUACACGCGAAAGGUGAUGGGUUCGAUCCCCAUCUCGUGUA
rnacentral:tRNA from 1 species